rnacentral:rRNA from 1 species
CAAUGAUUUUUUAAAUUGCUGUGGUAUUUUGACUAUACGAAGGUAUUGAAAUAAGAUUUUAAAUGAGUGCUAAGAGAAUGGUUAAACAAUUAAAGACUUUCUUUAAUUAAAGAAUUAAAUUUAAUUUUUUAAGUGCAAAAGCAAAAAUGAAAAUUAGGGACAAGAAGACCCUAUGAAUUUUUUAUUUAAUUUUUAAUUAUUUAAUUUAAAUUAAAUUUGAUUGGGGCGAUGGAAAAAGAAUAUAUAUCUUUUUUGGAUUAUAAUAAAUUGGUUCCGUUUUUAACGAUUAAAUGAAAAAAAUACUCUAGGGAUAACAGCGUAAUAAUUUUGGAUAGUUCAUAUAGAUAAAAUAGUUUGCGACCUCGAUGUUGGAUUAGGAUUCUUUUUCGGUGAAGAAGUUGAGAGAAGAAGUUUGUUCAACUUUUAAUUUCCUACUUGAUCUGAG